rnacentral:rRNA from 1 species
GACGAACCGUGCGAACGUUGUUCGGAAUCACUGGGCUUAAAGGGCGCGUAGGCGGUCUGCCAAGUCCGGGGUGAAAGCCUCCAGCUUAACUGGAGAAGUGCCUUGGAUACUGGUGGACUCGAGGGAGGCAGGGGUAGUGGGAACUUCCGGUGGAGCGGUGAAAUGCGUUAGAUAUCGGAAGGAACGCCGGUGGCGAAAGCGAGUCGCUGGACCCCUCCUGACGCUGAGGCGCGAAAGCCAGGGGAGCGAACGGG